rnacentral:lncRNA from 1 species
GCGCCACGCCCACGACGGAGGCCACGCCCUCUUCCGGUGGCGGUCUUGCCGGGAGGUAAGAGUGUCCAGCCAUUCUUCAUCCACAAUGGAGAAGCAAGAUUACGUAACAGAAUAAACAAGCUCCCUUUGACCUGGUUUGUGAAUUUGUAAACUGCUCAAAGGAGGCUUUGGAAUAUUCCUACUGGAUAUAUGGGACAGCUAUAUGGAAAGGCCAAAAUAUUUGUAAUCCAACUGUGAAGUCUAGAUACUCAAGUAUGGAUUCAUCUCUUCUCUCUUGCUCCUCAGUCUUGCCCGAAAAUGUUGCUUUUAAAGAUCUCAGACUUUUUUAAUCAUACAAGGUUUUACAUAGGUAUAUGGGAUCUGUAUCCAAUGCCCACACCAUGACAGUACUUACUGAUAGCAGUUUUUCUGCAAUAUAUGACAAAACAGGAUAAUGUCUUAAGUUCCCAGGUAUUAACACCAUCCUGUAAUGUGAUUAAUUUUUUGAACCACAUUUUCUUCCUAAUCUGAUUAUUUUCAAAUACUUGUAUUUUUAUAUAUGAUUGAGUGGGGUUUUUACCACUAAAAUCACUUAGAACUUAAAAAUUUACUAUAUGUAGGUUUACAAUUAUGUAUUCCUAUUUAAAACUUUCUAGGUCUUAGUGUCUGGAUAUACCUCACAUCUAUCUAACACAGGUAGAUUUU